rnacentral:piRNA from 1 species
UAAAACUUCUAUGAUGCCAGUCAGGAU